rnacentral:tRNA from 1 species
GAAGGAGACUGAACGUCUUAGAAUACUGCUAAUUUUUCUAAGCCACGGUUUAAUUCUGUGGCUCCCUCG